GGAGGGCAAGUCUGGUGCCAGCAGCCGCGGUAAUUCCAGCUCCAAUAGCGUAUAUUAAACUUGUUGCAGUUAAAAAGCUCGUAGUUGAAUUUCUGCGUUAUCGAGUUAUUGACUCUUGUCUUUAAUCGAUUUCGCUUUUGGGAUUUAUCCCUUUUUACUUUGAGAAAAUUAGAGUGUUUCAAGCAGACUUUUGUCUUGAAUACUUCAGCAUGGAAUAAUAGAGUAGGACUUUGGUUCUAUUUUGUUGGUUUUUGAACCUUAGUAAUGGUUAAUAGGAACGGUUGGGGGCAUUCGUAUUUAACUGUCAGAGGUGAAAUUCUUAGAUUUGUUAAAGACGAACUACUGCGAAAGCAUUUGCCAAGGACGUUUCCAUUAAUCAAGAACGAAAG
rnacentral:rRNA from 1 species